AUAUAACUUUAUAUCACAUACAAUAGAUCUAAGAUUUCAAGAUCUAGGGUUUUGUAGAAAAAUAAGUUCUUCCUUUCAUAUUCUUCUUCAUGGGAUCUAAUUAUAUGGCACCCCUACACAUCAUAAGAGUACCCCAUCGAAUGGGAAGAGAGGGCUUUUAAACCCUUCUUGCUCCUAUGAUCGGACAGCCUGGUGAUCAACCUAAUCCAAGUACUUGCUAAUCGGAUCUUCUAAUCUAAUCACAUAUCACAUGUGCAUGAAUUUAGAUCUAAUCUAAAUUAUAUUAGAUCUGAUUAUAACUUUAGAUCACAUUUAAACUAGAUUAUAAACAUCACAUGCAACACAUAAAAUCAGAUUUUAUCAAUGAUCAGCACAAACUAGGACAACCUUUUCAUUGUAAGGGAU
rnacentral:lncRNA from 1 species